rnacentral:tRNA from 1 species
GACUUCAUAGCUCAGUUGGUUAGAGCAUUGCACCGUUGAUCGCAAGGUCACGGGUUCAAAGUCUGUUGAAGUCC